rnacentral:rRNA from 1 species
UACGUAGGAGGCGAGCGUUGUCCGGAGUUACUGGGCGUAAAGGGUGCGUAGGCGGUUCGUUAAGUCUGUUGUGAAAUCCCCGGGCUCAACCUGGGAAUGGCAAUGGAUACUGGCGGGCUAGAGUGUGUCAGAGGAUGGUGGAAUUCCCGGUGUAGCGGUGAAAUGCGUAGAGAUGUGGAGGAAUACCGAUGGCGAAGGCAGCCUCCUGGGAUAACACUGACGCUGAGGCACGAAAGCGUGGGGAGCAAACAGG